rnacentral:rRNA from 1 species
UACGGAAGGCAGCAGUGGGGAAUAUUGCACAAUGGGCGCAAGCCUGAUGCAGCCAUGCCGCGUGUAUGAAGAAGGCCUUCGGGUUGUAAAGUACUUUCAGUCGUGAGGAAGGUGUUAAGGUUAAUAACCUUAGCAAUUGACGUUAGCGACAGAAGAAGCACCGGCUAACUCCGUGCCAGCAGCCGCGGUAAUACGGAGGGUGCGAGCGUUAAUCGGAAUUACUGGGCGUAAAGGGCACGCAGGCGGUUAAUUAAGUUGGAUGUGAAAUCCCCGGGCUUAACCUGGGAAUGGCAUUCAAGACUGGUUAGCUAGAGUCUUGUAGAGGGGGUAGAAUUCCAUGUGUAGCGGUGAAAUGCGUAGAGAUGUGGAGGAAUACCGGGUGGCGGAAGGCGGCCCCCGUGGACAAAGGACUGACGCUCAUGUGCGAAAGCGUGGGGAGCGAAACAGGGAUUAGAUACC